rnacentral:rRNA from 1 species
CGAGUGAGCGGCAAAAGCUCAAAUUUGAAAUCUGGCACUUUCAGUGUCCGAGUUGUAAUUUGAAGAAGGUAUCUUUGGGUCUGGCUCUUGUCUAUGUUUCUUGGAACAGAACGUCACAGAGGGUGAGAAUCCCGUGCGAUGAGAUGUCCCAGACCUAUGUAAAGUUCCUUCGAAGAGUCGAGUUGUUUGGGAAUGCAGCUCUAAGUGGGUGGUAAAUUCCAUCUAAAGCUAAAUAUUGGCGAGAGACCGAUAGCGAACAAGUACAGUGAUGGAAAGAUGAAAAGAACUUUGAAAAGAGAGUGAAAAAGUACGUGAAAUUGUUGAAAGGGAAGGGCUUGAGAUCAGACUUGGUAUUUUGUAUGUUACUCUCUCGGGGGUGGCCUCUACAGUUUACCGGGCCAGCAUCAGUUUGAGCGGUAGGAUAAGUGCAAAGAAAUGUGGCACUGCUUCGGUAGUGUGUUAUAGUCUUUGUCGAUACUGCCAGCUUAGACUGAGGACUGCGGCUUCGGCCUAGGAUGUUGGCAUAAUGAUCUUAAGUCGCCCGUCUUGA